CCUUAACUGAAUCUGCAGACCAAACUACUGGAACUGUAGUUGCAGGUUUCUUUUUCACUGCAUUAUAAGAAGCCUGAACAGUUGGCUGAGGUGCAUGCUGGGACUCCAAGUGGAGCUGGGAUUGGGGCUGUGGCCCUCUACAGCUUGUUUUCACAGCUGGAUUUAUUGCCGUCUGGCUCACAGCUGCCUACAGUUUAAAAAAGAAGAACUUCAGCAUAGGCAGGAUGUAAGUGAAAGUUAUUAUUGGCAUUUGUGUUACUUGUUAAUGACACAUGAGCUCAAAUUGUACAAAGUGAGAUGGAGGAUGCAGUAAAUAUGAAAGUGGCAGCAAAUGUUUC